ACAGUGCUGGAGAGAGGCUAG
rnacentral:piRNA from 1 species